rnacentral:rRNA from 1 species
CUCCUGUCGCUAGAUGAAUCCGCGUCCCAUUAGCCAGUUGGUGGGGUAAAGGCCUACCAAAGCAACGAUGGGUAGCCGGCCUGAGAGGGUGACCGGCCACACUGGAACUGAGAUACGGUCCAGACUCCUACGGGAGGCAGCAGUGGGGAAUCUUCCGCAAUGGGCGAAAGCCUGACGGAGCAACGCCGCGUGAGCGAAGAAGGUCUUCGGAUUGUAAAGCUCUGUGAUAUUGGUGGGAAGGAAUGACGGUACAAUAAGAGGAAGCCACGGCUAACUACGUGCCAGCAGCCGCGGUAAUACGUAGGUGGCAAACGUUGUCCGGAAUUACUGGGCGUAAAGGGCGAGUAGGUGGUUUGCUAAGUCAGAAGUGAAAACUCCGGGCUCAACCCUGAGAGUGCAUCGGAAACUGGAGAUCUUGAGGACAGGAGAGGAAAGUGGAAUUCCUAGUGUAGCGGUGAAAUGCGUAGAUAUUAGGAGGAACACCAGUGGCGAAGGCGACUUCCUGGCUUGUAACUGACGCUGAGGCGCGAAAGCGUGGGGAUCAAACAGGAUUAGAUACCCUGGUAGUCCACGCCGUAAACGAUGAGUGCUAGGUGUCGGGGGUAUCGACCCCCUCGGUGCCACAGCUAACGCAAUAAGCACUCCGCCUGGGGAGUACGGUCGCAAGACUGAAACUCAAAGGAAUUGACGGGGGCCCGCACAAGCGGUGGAGCAUGUGGUUUAAUUCGACGCAACGCGAAGAACCUUACCAGGGCUUGACAUCCUGUGACAGAUGGAAAUAUAGACUUCUUAGUUUACUAAGACACAGAGACAGGUGGUGCAUGGUUGUCGUCAGCUCGUGUCGUGAGAUGUUGGGUUAAGUCCCGCAACGAGCGCAACCCUUGUCCUUAGUUGCCAGCAUGCAAGAUGGGCACUCUAGGGAGACUGCCGGUGAUAAACCGGAGGAAGGUGGGGAUGACGUCAAAUCAUCAUGCCCCUUAUGUCCUGGGCUACACACGUGCUACAAUGGCCGGUACAGAGGGAAGCGAAGCCGCGAGGUGGAGCCAAUCCCAAAAAGCCGGUCUCAGUUCGGAUUGGAGUCUGCAACUCGACUCCAUGAAGUUGGAAUCGCUAGUAAUCGCGGAUCUGCAUACUGCGGUGAAUACGUUCCCGGGCCUUGUACACACCGCCCGUCACACCACGAAAGUCUGCAACACCCGAAGCCGGUCACUCA